AUUGAACGCUGGCGGAAUGCAUUACACAUGCAAGUCGAACGGCAGCACGGGGGCAACCCUGGUGGCGAGUGGCGAACGGGUGAGUAAUACAUCGGAACGUGCCCAGUCGUGGGGGAUAACGUAGCGAAAGCUACGCUAAUACCGCAUACGAUCUACGGAUGAAAGCGGGGGAUCGCAAGACCUCGCGCGAUUGGAGCGGCCGAUGGCAGAUUAGGUAGUUGGUGAGGUAAAGGCUCACCAAGCCGACGAUCUGUAGCUGGUCUGAGAGGACGACCAGCCACACUGGGACUGAGACACGGCCCAGACUCCUACGGGAGGCAGCAGUGGGGAAUUUUGGACAAUGGGCGCAAGCCUGAUCCAGCCAUUCCGCGUGCAGGAUGAAGGCCCUCGGGUUGUAAACUGCUUUUGUACGGAACGAAACGGCUCUCUCUAAUACAGGGGGCUAAUGACGGUACCGUAAGAAUAAGCACCGGCUAACUACGUGCCAGCAGCCGCGGUAA
rnacentral:rRNA from 1 species